GCGCCGGGCCCGCUUGGCGCGCUGCCUGCGCCGGCUCGUGAUUGCGCUCGGGACUUUUCUGGCGGGCUCCUCCCGAAUUGCCUCCCGCAAUAAAGCGGAGCAUAAAACAGUACAGAACGCACUGGGCAUAAAUUGACUUACAGUACUAAAAAGGACCUUUGGUACAAUUGCCGGCACGAACCAGAGCCGACCGGUAAGGCCGUAAUUGGGAAGGCUGGGUUGAACAAACAUGCUUUCAGGACGGUUCUGCUGUCUAAACCUUUUUAUUCCUGAAAUACAAACAAACCAACCCCAGUGCAUUUAACAUACAAGCAUUAAGUAAGGACAGUAAUCAUUAUUCUACUGCGCUUCCUAGCAGCAGAACCAGGAAUGCAUGUCAAAUAAAAGAAGAAAAAAAAACUCCGGUUUUUUGGAGUUUGGAGUUUUCCUUGUUGCUUUAAGUGAAUCCUAUUGAUUCUGUUCCUCUAACGUUAUUUUCUAAAUUUUAUUUACUAUCCUUUUCAUCCACAUAUUUUGUUUUUUCUUUCCUAUAAUCAUAGCUUUAAAUUUUAUGUAAUCCCUGCAUUCACUCCUUUUUCUCUCUUCCGGCAUUCCAAGUGAAUCGCAUUAUAUCAAGUUAGACUUCAGGGCAUUCCUGGAAGCACUCUGGGAGGGGGGCUGGCGGACCCCUGAUGGCUACCCCUUGGGAAGCAGUGCAGAGGCUGAAUUCUGCCCCGUGCCUAGCGUGAGCCUCCUUGAGGCCUUAAACUGAAAGCAAAACCAGUGAGAAAGGUUGCAACGCUUUUCUUUUUAGCUCUCGCUUUUCUUUUUAGCUCUCGCUUUUCUUUUUAGCUCUCAGGCUUCCCUUUCGCUUCUUGGUGGGUGACAGCGUGCCUAGUUUAAACCGGUUUGGCUCCAGGCCAGCCUGCUCCAAGGCCUUCCUUGCUUCAGUCGUGUGCCAUCCGUGGCAACGAAAGUCUUGGGCAGGGCGAGGAGACACAUUUGAAAAAUAAUUGCCGGAGAACGAGCCUCUUACACCUUUAGUUUGGUUAAGGCCCUGAGAUUUUUUGCUGGUGUUUUAGAAUACCUGACCUCGCAAUGGGAAGUUCCACAGGUACGGCACCUGUGCAGGUGUGUUUCCCUUGGAAUGAGGUCAGCGUAGGCAUUCGGUGUGUUGCAACUCCGUAUUUUAUUUACAGCUGUGUAAGUUGAGCCUGGGUGGGGACCCAGCUUAAAAGACUCCAGCUGGCAGGCAGGUCCAGCACCCGAUACUAUCUCGAAAGGGCAGUGUCGAAAUGCCCUUUGCAUACCAGCUGGACGCUCAGCUCCCACUGCCCCGGGUCUUCCUCUGUCUCAAAUAUUCAGCAUUUUCCCUUUCAUGCAGAUGCCCAGAUGCAUCAGUUUGGCUGGGGCACAGUGGGCGGGGGAGGAAGCCUCUUUUUGGUACUGUUUGGAGCUGAUGGCGCAAUCAGCCAGUCUUGCUAGUGGAAGGAAAGUCCUUGGCAGCUAUUCCAGGUCAGCAGUAUGUGUGGCUCUGUUUACCCUUUCUGGUCCGCGCUUCCCGUCUAGCUACAGCAUAGCCCAAUCUGGUUUCUCAGUUCCCUUCCCACCCCAGCCCCAAGGCGGUUUCCAGUUGCAAGCGGCCGAGCUUGAGUGGAAUGAAGCGGAGCCCAGAGCCAGUAAAACAACACUCUCCAAACGGAGGAAAGGAAACUGAAGUCCCGUGUUCCCUCCAUGCUCUGUGAAAGCCACAUGCUCAGUGGCAGGAUGAGGCGUUUCGCUUUGUUCAUGCAAAUCCCCUCGUGUUUGUAUGAAUAAAGCCAAAGGCCUGGAGGGUGUGGGGACGCCUUGGAGUGCAGCUCCCAGAGUUCCUGACCAUUGGUCGCGUUGCCGGGCCUGAUGGGAGCUGUAGUCUGAAGCGUCCAUGCAGAGAGCGCCACUGCAACUGCCCGGGGAAGUCCAUCCUGUGUGGGAGGUGGCAGAGCAGACACUGGGAAAGCGUUAACUCGGCGAAGCGCUGCAGUGAGAGUGCUCGGAUUGCAUGCGCAGGAGCAUCGCGGGGACCUGGGAUUGUUGCGAUGGGCUGAGCCCCCCGAGCAGGGAGCCGGCCGAGGGUUGCCGCCCUGGGACCGCUACCUGCCGUUCUCUCCUGGCUGCACCCAGAUAGCACCUGGAGCAAGGAGAGGGAGGUGAUGCUGCGGCUCAAGGAGGUGGUGGAUAAGCAGCGCGAUGAGAUCCGCCAGCAGGCCCGAGACAUCCUCUCCCGGACCCGGGACGCGGAAGCGCUGCAGGAGCAGCUCGGCCGCUUCAUGUCCGUGAACGAAGAGCUCCGCCGCAAGCUGGCUGUAGUGCAGGCGCAGCUCAGGAGCGCCCUGGAUCAGAAGGAGGAGCUGGACAGCCUGCUGCUGGAGGCCCGCCGGGAGGCUGAGGGGCUGCGUGGGUCCGUGGCCACCCCAGAGCCAUCCAGGAUGGAUGCCAUGGAGGGCACCGAGGUGGUCGCGACGUUGAGCAGGGGGCUGCCUGGACGGGGCUCCUUCUCCCGGGAAGAGCUGCAGCAGAUCCUGCAGGAGCGCAACGAGCUGAAGACCAACCUCUUCCUGGUGCAGGAGGAGCUGGCCUUUUACCAGCGGGAACUGCUGAAUGACCAGCGGAUCCCGAGCAUCCUCCUGCGCGCUGUGAAGUCCACCAUCAAGAAGCAGCGCCGGAAGAUCCGGGCCAAGAUGCUGGGGACUGCGGAAGACCAGGAGAGCAGCGAGGAGGAGGCGGAGGAGUGGCUGAUGGGCCCCGCGGACGCUGUGGAUGGCCACCUGCCCGAGCCCGGAAUUAGGAGCUUUUUUAGCCUGUGGUAUCGCCAAAGCAGCAAAAGCAGCACAGCGGAAGGCGGCUCUGGAGCCUGGGAGAUCGUCAACCCGCGAGACACGUGUCCGAAGGAGGGCGAAGGGGAGCCGGAGCAGCAAGCGCCUUCCUGUAGCUCCAGCUCUCCCGGCGGAGCCUCAUCCCUCGCCUGAGCCGGGCCGCCAGUCGGAUCCGGGGCAGCGCCCUGCUGGGGCUGGCCACACGCUGCCGGAGCUCCGGCCCCAUGGCCCUGGCACAGUCCAGCCAGGUUGGAGAGGGGCCGCAUGGGCCGCGGGGGAAGGUCGAAGGCACCCCUCCCCGCAUUGGCUCGCCUCUCACGGGCCAGCGUGAGGCCGCAGCCGGCACCAGAGCGGGGGCGCGUGGCGGGGGGAGAGGAGGUGCUUGCAAGCGCUGAGGAGCGGCAGGACAGCAGUAGCUGGGUGUGCCAGGGCGGUCCCCUCGCACAGGUGUGUGCAAGCCCGGCCUCCUUUGCUCUGCGUAGUGUGCAGACGUGGGAGAAGACGUGGGUGUCCCAGGGCACGGAUUCCUGCCAGCUGCAGAGAGCAGAGCCAGGGAGAAGCCGGGCUGCUUUGUCUAUUAGGUGAGGGGAUUCCGCAUGGACUGUGUCAGGCCCUUUGGGGAUGUGGAGGGCAGAAGCGCUGUCUGAGCUGCCCCCCGAUCCAGUGGGCUCAUGAUUACAUCUCAAAGUGUCUCCCGACCUGGUGCCUCUGCUUGGGAAUAUGCCUAUGGAAAGGACCGUUAUUCCGCUGGCCUGCAGGCGUAUCCGGUGCUGAACGUUAACAUCUGGAUAGACAGAAUGCUAAACGUGGGACGGGGCAGGCGGGCCGCCCUCGCCUGUCCAGCGCAGCCACAGGCGCCGUCGCCACAGCCGGUGCAGGAGGGCCCCUUCCCCGUCUGCGCUGCCGUUCCCGGGACCAGCUCUGCGCUCUAUGUCGGGAACGAGGCCUGCGAGGAAACGCAUCUGGCCAGUGGAGGAUCCCGGGCAACGGGGCCCCUUCGGAUCCCCGCACGCUUGGAAAUGGAUUGGGAGCCCGUGGAAAGCUUUUCUGUUAAGACUGCCAACCUGGUGUCCCAGCAGCCUUAAUCUGGACAUACGUGGAGACAUGCAAUUAUGAUGGGUUGUAGUUGUACACAACAGACAGUGGUGGAUUCUGGGCAGGCACGGAAACCCAGACAAUGCGCAGCCAUGGUGAUUCUUCAGUUGGUUUCUGAAAUGCAUCUCCAAUUUCUGGCUUCAAAAUACCAUCUGCUUAAUUUGAAA